GCAUGCACGCUUCCUCCUUAAAUCUCUCGUCUGCUCCUCACAACUAGGCACUCCCAAAUCCAAUGCAUCCUUUAAUUGCUCCAUCAAAUUGUAGGGGAUCCAACAAGCUUUGAUCCAUUGGUUGCCCCAUCCUCUCACACACCUCACGCGGAUCCCUCUCCCAUCCAGCACCUCCUCGCACUCCCCGCUCGAUCGCUACUGCCCCCUCUCUCUCUAUUUAUACAUGGACGCGCCCCACGCAUUACUCUUGCUCCUCCUUACUCCUCAAACCGGCACCACACCACCUCACAUCAUGUACAACAACAAGCACAUCGAGCCACCAUCAACCAAAGGUGGUUCCAAUGAUGCAGUGCCCGGCUAGCAGCAUAAUGGGAGAUGCUCUGCCGUCCGUUAGAUUGGUCGUACGGGUGCGCGGCAACAUCCAUCAGCCGUGUCAUGUCCUUGCCCUUAGUAUGAGCAUGAUCUAGUCUUGUGGCCACACCCCUUUCUCUCGAUGCAGAUGAUUGUUUCUGCUAGAUGUGUGCAGCAAUUUGCCGGACAAUAGCAGAAACCCGACCAGAUGCCAGGCCAAAUAUGGAUGGAGCUUGUGUAUAAAAAAAGACUGAGGGGUGGCAUUUGGUGUCCGCGGUUGCAUGGCCGGGACUGCUGUCCACGGACAUUUAGUGUCAUCGGAUGCCCUAAGCCGAUUGAGAGGUCAGCGGACUACACCUAAAUGAAAGUAUAUGCCAUUUUCAUCCAAUUUGCCGCGGCUCAGCCUUCUCAGAACCAACAUUUUGAAGCUUCUUAGAAUCAGUGACUGCUUAUAAUGGUUAGGAAUGCCCCAAAAAACAGAACAGGAAACUACACAUGUCGAUCACACCCGACAACACGUACUUCCUGCCCUGUGAUAUAGUAGAGAUUCUGAAAAUUCGAGCUUCUCCAAGAUAGAGUGAAGAUAUCCUAGUUUGGGGGCCGGGAAUGAUGGUUAGCGUACAACUUUGCGUCUGAGGAAUCAGUUCGGGCAACGGGAACUUCAUCAAGUUCGGCGGCUGAUGGGAGAAGAAAGUGUUGGGAGGACAUGAUCUGGAAAUCACUUGUUCCUCCUACUGUAAAAAAAUUCGCUUGGCGUGUUGCAAUAAAUUCACUCCCAACAUGGCAGAAUAAACAUAGAAGGGGAAUUGAGAAGUCUGAAUAUUGUCCUGUUUGUGACCGUGAACCGGAAAACACCUUUCAUGCACUAUGUAGGUGCCCAAUAGCGGUUGAUCUCUGGACAUGUAUGGCGAAAGUUGGGGGAGAUGCAGAACAAUGGAAAGGAAUGGAUUCUUCAUGCUUUACAACCGCUUAAUGAUAUUCAGAGAAGUAUGCUCUUUCUCACUUUGUGGAGAUGUUGGUACAGUAGGAAUGAGGUGACUCACUACAACCAUUGCCACCGGUGGAUGUGUCCCAAAGAUUCUUAACUAGCUACUUGGACACACUGAUGGGCGUUGCACAAAAUCCUCUGUAUGAUCCAAUAAAAGGCAAGGGCCCAGCAGUGAUUAAUUAGAUUCAGUUCAGCUUCAGACUGUCAGACAAACAGUACCAGAUGGUAGCCCCAGGUGGAUUGCUCCUCGUGCAGGGAACUCUUCUCAUGCAGAGAUGCUAUGGAGGCUGAGCUGUGUGCUUGCAUGGAGGGCAUUUCAUUAUCAAUUCAGCGAUCUGAUCUUCCUAUCAUGUUGGAGAUUGAUUCAAUUCAGGUGGUGAGCAUGUUAAAAGGAUGAUGCCGUUGAUAGAUCGGUUUUUUGCUUCCUUAGUGGCAGAGAUAAAAUAUUUGAUUUCCCUUCUUAGUACUGUACUUGUGUUACUCGUAUUAAUCAUAGCCAAAACACCGUCAGUGACUACUUGGCUAACUUUGCUAGGACUGAAAAAAGAAUUGUCGUGUGGUUUGGUUCAGGACCACCAGAGGCAGUGAACUUAUGCAAAGUAGAUUGUAACGAGGGUGUUGACUGAGUAAUGCAACCGACAAGCUAUCUAUAUCAGACCUGUAAUUUUGUACA